AUGUAAUUUAUGAUUUGUAGUUUUAAUUUCAGUUGUAUUUACGCCAUGUUUACCUCUUCUAAAAGAAGCGUGGGCCAAACGGAAUCAUCCCAACAUACUGUUUUUGUUUUAUGAAGAUACUGUCAAGGACAUGCCUUCUGCUAUUCGACGUGUUGCUAAAUUUCUUGGCAAAGAAUAUUCUGAACAAGAAGUACGCAAACUUUGUGAGUACAUGGACAUAGAAAACAUGAGGAACAACCCGUCUGUUCAGCCGAAAGGAGCUGGUGCCAAAGUCUAUGUAGGACAAGGUAAGGCAGGUGGAUGGAAGGAGCAUUUUGAUGACGCUCUUCGAGAACAGGCCGAACAAUGGAUACAGGUACACCUUGAAGAUACUGACCUUACUUUUCCAGAACAUAUACAUAUCGUAUUUAAUUUGAAUAGUAAAAUAGCUAUUCACUGUCAUUUACACUACCGCAUCGUAAUAAGUUCUGCGUUUAUCGGAGUUUACAUGUGCAUACAUGAAUAUUAAAAAAAAAAUACAAAUUUUACCUU